CUACGGAGGGGGUUAGCGUUGUUCGGAAUUACUGGGCGUAAAGCGCACGUAGGCGGACUGGAAAGUUGGGGGUGAGAUCCCGGGGCUCAACCCCGGAACUGCCUCCAAAACUUCCAAUCUAGAGUUCGAGAGAGGUGAGUGGAAUUCCAAGUGUAGAGGUGAAAUUCGUAGAUAUUUGGAGGAACACCAGUGGCGAAGGCGGCUCACUGGCUCGAUACUGACGCUGAGGUGCGAAAGCGUGGGUAGCAAACGGGAUUAGAAACCCCGGUAGUCC
rnacentral:rRNA from 1 species